CCUACGGGAGGCAGCAGUGGGGAAUAUUGGACAAUGGGCGAAAGCCUGAUCCAGCAAUGCCGCGUGAGUGAUGAAGGCCUUCGGGUCGUAAAGCUCUUUUACCAGGGAUGAUAAUGACAGUACCCGGAGAAUAAGCUCCGGCUAACUCCGUGCCAGCAGCCGCGGUAAUACGGAGGGAGCUAGCGUUGUUCGGAAUUACUGGGCGUAAAGAGUACGUAGGCGGUUAUUCAAGUCAGAGGUGAAAGCCCGGGGCUCAACCCCGGAACUGCCUUUGAAACUAGAUAACUAGAGUCUUGGAGAGGUUAGUGGAAUUCCGAGUGUAGAGGUGAAAUUCGUAGAUAUUCGGAAGAACACCAGUGGCGAAGGCGACUAACUGGACAAGUACUGACGCUGAGGUACGAAAGCGUGGGGAGCAAACAGGAUUAGAUACCCUGGUAGUCCACGCCGUAAACGAUGAUAACUAGUUGUUCGGUCACUUGGUGACUGAGUGACGCAGCUAACGCAUUAAGUUAUCCGCCUGGGGAGUACGGUCGCAAGAUUAAAACUCAAAAGAUAAUCGACGNGNGAGAGCGACGACGACGACGACGAGGAGGAG
rnacentral:rRNA from 1 species